AAAAUAUACUUUUACUACUUUACGAACGAUAAGAGUAACAUACAUAAGAAUGUAAAUGUAUAUCCUUUUAUUAUUAUAAUUAAAAAGGGAAAUAUAAAAUGUAAAAUUUAUUGCCAUAUAAAUUAUAUGUUAAUAAUUUAUACUUAAAACUUCAAUGGUAAUAUAUAUAUAUAUAUAUAUAUAUAUAUAUAUAUAUACAAAAUAAACCUUACAAUACUUUUGUUCAUUUGUAUAUUUUCUUUAUUUCACAUAUAACCAUUUUUAAUUAAAUAAAAACUUCAUUUACUUUCAAAUGUUCUUAUAAAUAUAAAAGUAUAUUAAAAAAUAUCCUUUUCUUACGAAAAAAUAAAAUAAAAACAUAGUAACUCAUUCAUUUAUAAAUAUAUUCUGAUGAAUAUUAUUACUAAAAAUAUUUUCUUUUUGUUGAUAUUAUUAAUAAAUAUAUUUAUAAAGCCAAGGUAAUAAAAAUUUAAAUAUAAUAAUAUAUAUAUCAAAAUAAUUGAGAAAACUAAAAAAACAAACAAAGGAAACUAUUCUCUUUAAUAUUGAAACAAUAUAUAAUAUUAUUACAUAAUAAAUAUUUUGUUUUGGAACUAAUAAGGAUCGUUAUAAAAUAAAUAUAAGCAAAAUAAAAAAUAAGAUUAACAAUAUUUAAAAUAUAAUAUAUAUAUAUAUAUAUAAUAUAUAUGAAUACUUUUGAGAGCUUGCGAAUAAAUUUUUUUCCUUUUUCUUAAGAAAAAAAAAAAUUAAGG
rnacentral:sRNA from 1 species